rnacentral:tRNA from 1 species
GCCUGGAGGGCUCAGUGAGUAGAGCAUGAGACUCUUGACCUCAGGGUUGUGAGUUCAAAUCCCAUAUGGGGCA